rnacentral:hammerhead_ribozyme from 1 species
AUUACUUGGCGAGUCCCAAACAGGACGAAAUGCGCAUCCUGGAU